rnacentral:tRNA from 1 species
GCCUGGUUAGCUCAGUUGAUAGAGCGUCGCAUUGGUAAUGCGGAGGUCGCGGGUUUGAUCCCCGUGCCAGGCU